GGACUGGUUAGCUCAGUCAGUUGAGCGUGGCGCUAACAACACCAAGGUCGCGGGUUUGAUUCCAGUUUGGUUCC
rnacentral:tRNA from 1 species